rnacentral:rRNA from 1 species
AGUGAACGCUGGCGGUAGGCCUAACACAUGCAAGUCGAACGGCAGCACAGUAAGAGCUUGCUCUUACGGGUGGCGAGUGGCGGACGGGUGAGGAAUACAUCGGAAUCUACUUUUUCGUGGGGGAUAACGUAGGGAAACUUACGCUAAUACCGCAUACGACCUACGGGUGAAAGCAGGGGAUCUUCGGACCUUGUGCGAUUGAAUGAGCCGAUGUCGGAUUUGCUAGUUGGCGGGGUACAGGCCCACCAAGGCGACGAUCCGUAGCUGGUCUGAGAGGAGGAUCGGCCACACUGGAACUGAGACACGGUCCAGACUCCUACGGGAGGCAGCAGUGGGGAAUAUUAGACAGUGGGCGCAAGCCUGAUCCAGCCAUACCGCGUGGGUGAAGAAGGCCUUCGGGUUGUAAAGCCCUUUUGUUGGGAAAGAAAAGCAGCAGGUUAAUACCCCGCUGUUCUGACGGUACCCAAAGAAUAAGCACCGGCUAACUUCGUG